rnacentral:rRNA from 1 species
GUACCGAAGGAAUAAGGAUCGGCUAACUCCGUGCCAGCAGCCGCGGUAAUACGGAGGAUCCAAGCGUUAUCCGGAUUUAUUGGGUUUAAAGGGUGCGUAGGCGGCUUUUUAAGUCAGGGGUGAAAGACGGUAGCUCAACUAUCGCAGUGCCUUUGAUACUGAAGAGCUUGAAUGGACUAGAGGUAGGCGGAAUGUGACAAGUAGCGGUGAAAUGCAUAGAUAUGUCACAGAACACCGAUUGCGAAGGCAGCUUACUAUGGUUUAAUUGACGCUGAGGCACGAAAGCGUGGGGAUCAAACAGGAUUAGAUACCCUGGUAGUCCACGCCCUAAACGAUGAAUACUCGCUGUUAGCGAUACACAGUUAGCGGCUAAGCGAAAGCGUUAAGUAUUCCACCUGGGGAGUACGGUCGCAAGAUUGAAACUCAAAGGAAUUGACGGGGGCCCGCACAAGCGGAGGAGCAUGUGGUUUAAUUCGAUGAUACGCGAGGAACCUUACCCGGGCUUGAAAGUUAGUGAAUCAUUUAGAGAUAGAUGAGUCCGCAAGGACACGAAACUAGGUGCUGCAUGGCUGUCGUCAGCUCGUGCCGUGAGGUGUUGGGUUAAGUCCCGCAACGAGCGCAACCCCUAUGUUUAGUUGCCAGCACGUAAUGGUGGGGACUCUAAACAGACUGCCUGUGCAAACAGAGAGGAAGGAGGGGACGACGUCAAGUCAUCAUGGCCCUUACGUCCGGGGCUACACACGUGCUACAAUGGAUGGUACAGAGGGCAGCAAGCUGGCAACAGCAAGCAAAUCUCCAAAAGCCAUUCACAGUUCGGAUAGAGGUCUGCAACUCGACCUCUUGAAGUUGGAUUCGCUAGUAAUCGUAUAUCAGCAAUGAUACGGUGAAUACGUUCCCGGGCCUUGUACACACCGCCCGUCAAGCCAUGGAAGUUGGGGGUACCUAAAGUAUGUAACCGCAAGGAGCGUCCUAGGGUAAAACCGAUAACUGGGGCUAAGUCGUAACAAGGUAGCCGUACCGGAAGGUGCGGCUGGAAUACCUCCUUUCU